GCCUUGUACACACCGCCCGUCACAUCAUGGGAGUUGGGUUUACCCGAAGACGGUGCGCCAACCUUUCGAGGGGGCAGCUGGCCACGGUAGGCUCAGCGACUGGGAUGAAGUCGGAACAAGGUAGCCGUAGGGGAACCUGCGGCUGGAUCACCUCCUU
rnacentral:rRNA from 15 species